AUCUGUUUGGAGUUGUGGUUAGUGCGCUCGGCUGUGGAACCGGGCGACGCCGGUUCGAUUCCCCCUACCAGAGG
rnacentral:tRNA from 1 species